CUACGGGGUGCUGCAGUGAGAAAUAUUGCACAAUGGGGGGAACCCUGAUGCAGCAACGCCGCGUGGAGGAUGACGCAUUUCGGUGUGUAAACUCCUUUUAUAUGUCAAGAAAAUGACGGUAGCAUAUGAAUAAGCACCGGCUAACUCCGUGCCAGCAGCCGCGGUAAUACGGAGGGUGCAAGCGUUACUCAGAAUCACUGGGCGUAAAGGACGCGUAGGCGGGUUGGAAAGUCAGGUGUGAAAUCCUACAGCUUAACUGUAGAACUGCACUUGAAACUUCUAAUCUAGAGUAUGGGAGGGGGAGAUGGAAUUAGUGGUGUAGGGGUAAAAUCCGUAGAUAUCACUAGGAAUACCUAAAGCGAAGGCGAUCUCCUGGAACAUUACUGACGCUAAGGCGUGAAAGCGUGGGGAGCAAACAGGAUUAGAUACCCGCGUAGUC
rnacentral:rRNA from 1 species